rnacentral:rRNA from 1 species
GAUGAACGCUAGCGACAGGCUUAACACAUGCAAGUCGAGGGGCAGCACGGUGUAGCAAUACAUUGGUGGCGACCGGCGCACGGGUGAGUAACGCGUAUGCAACCUACCUAUCAGAGGGGAAUAACCCGGCGAAAGUCGGACUAAUACCGCAUAAAACAGGGGUUCCACAUGGAAAUAUUUGUUAAAGAUUUAUCGCUGAUAGAUGGGCAUGCGUUCCAUUAGAUAGUUGGUGAGGUAACGGCUCACCAAGUCUACGAUGGAUAGGGGUUCUGAGAGGAAGGUCCACCACACUGGUAAUGAGACACGGACCAGACUCCUACGGGAGGCAGCAGUGAGGAAUAUUGGUCAAUGGGCGAGAGCCUGAACCAGCCAAGUCGCGUGAAGGAUGAAGGAUCUAUGGUUUGUAACCUUCUUUUAUAUGGGAAUAAAGUGAGGAACGUGUUCCUUUUUGUAUGUACCAUAUGAAUAAGCAUCGGCUAACUCCGUGCCAGCAGCCGCCGUAA